UUCCGUGUGCAUUUUCGAGAAAGGAACACGGAAAGACGAAUACCGUUCUGCGUGAUGUCACCGCGUAACUGGUUUCUAUUUGCAUAAUGCACUCUCUCGCAACAUUUCCAGAGAUUACCGUGACGUUAUUUCCGUUGAGCUGAGGCUACAAAGGCAGACGCUAAGCCGUCAGUACGUUAUUCUGUGCAGCGAACUAGUACCAUGCGUAUGUCGGUGCGCGUACUGUGCGUCAUUAUGGUGCUCCACGUCAGCGCGGCCAGUACGUCGGACAACCGUACGGCGCCGUCCCACACAGCAAUCGACUUGCCGCCUCCGUCCGGAAGAGCGCCUGGUGCGGCUAUUACACUGCCUCCCAGGUGCCCGGACGACACGACUAACGUCAACGGAAAAUGCGUACGCACCAUUCAUAUACAAGAUAACCGGGAGAACUGAAGACCAUCAGGCUGGCGGGCUGUAUCCAGCUAGGAAUGAGGAACAUUCGCUCAAGGGUGCGCUUCGUCGCACAAACUAAAAGCAAUGCAUGUACGGACACCAGUACUACACAAAGACGAAUGUAAAAUUUUGUAAUAAAAAUGCAGAUAUUUUCAGCAAUGUAAAAUAAGUUCACACUUCUGUACCCCUAGAAACAGAACAUAAACAACUCUUGCCAAAGAGUUGAAUACUCAUGGACCAUAGAAUGUUUGAUGAAAUGUGUGCUGUUCACUCAUUUACAAAAUAAAAGAAUGAUAUUCCGCCAGCAAA